UUACUACAUGGCAGGGGAGAUACCAUGAUCAAGAAGGGGUCAACCAGGCGAGGCUAACCCAUUGCACUCGGUUAUGCGCCGCCCUAUGGAUUCCCCAAAUGUGGGAAUCUCGGACUGCAUAAUGUGUGUAGUGGGGGACUGAGUUCGCGCCUCUACCCG